AGGACGAACGCUGGCGGCGUGCCUAAUACAUGCAAGUCGAGCGGACAGAAGGGAGCUUGCUCCCGGAUGUUAGCGGCGGACGGGUGAGUAACACGUGGGUAACCUGCCUGUAAGACUGGGAUAACUCCGGGAAACCGGAGCUAAUACCGGAUAGUUCCUUGAACCGCAUGGUUCAAGGAUGAAAGACGGUUUCGGCUGUCACUUACAGAUGGACCCGCGGCGCAUUAGCUAGUUGGUGGGGUAAUGGCUCACCAAGGCGACGAUGCGUAGCCGACCUGAGAGGGUGAUCGGCCACACUGGGACUGAGACACGGCCCAGACUCCUACGGGAGGCAGCAGUAGGGAAUCUUCCGCAAUGGACGAAAGUCUGACGGAGCAACGCCGCGUGAGUGAUGAAGGUUUUCGGAUCGUAAAGCUCUGUUGUUAGGGAAGAACAAGUGCGAGAGUAACUGCUCGCACCUUGACGGUACCUAACCAGAAAGCCACGGCUAACUACGUGCCAGCAGCCGCGGUAAUACGUAGGUGGCAAGCGUUGUCCGGAAUUAUUGGGCGUAAAGGGCUCGCAGGCGGUUUCUUAAGUCUGAUGUGAAAGCCCCCGGCUCAACCGGGGAGGGUCAUUGGAAACUGGGAAACUUGAGUGCAGAAGAGGAGAGUGGAAUUCCACGUGUAGCGGUGAAAUGCGUAGAGAUGUGGAGGAACACCAGUGGCGAAGGCGACUCUCUGGUCUGUAACUGACGCUGAGGAGCGAAAGCGUGGGGAGCGAACAGGAUUAGAUACCCUGGUAGUCCACGCCGUAAACGAUGAGUGCUAAGUGUUAGGGGGUUUCCGCCCCUUAGUGCUGCAGCUAACGCAUUAAGCACUCCGCCUGGGGAGUACGGUCGCAAGACUGAAACUCAAAGGAAUUGACGGGGGCCCGCACAAGCGGUGGAGCAUGUGGUUUAAUUCGAAGCAACGCGAAGAACCUUACCAGGUCUUGACAUCCUCUGACAACCCUAGAGAUAGGGCUUUCCCUUCGGGGACAGAGUGACAGGUGGUGCAUGGUUGUCGUCAGCUCGUGUCGUGAGAUGUUGGGUUAAGUCCCGCAACGAGCGCAACCCUUGAUCUUAGUUGCCAGCAUUUAGUUGGGCACUCUAAGGUGACUGCCGGUGACAAACCGGAGGAAGGUGGGGAUGACGUCAAAUCAUCAUGCCCCUUAUGACCUGGGCUACACACGUGCUACAAUGGACAGAACAAAGGGCUGCGAGACCGCAAGGUUUAGCCAAUCCCAUAAAUCUGUUCUCAGUUCGGAUCGCAGUCUGCAACUCGACUGCGUGAAGCUGGAAUCGCUAGUAAUCGCGGAUCAGCAUGCCGCGGGUGAAUACGUUCCCGGGCCUUGUACACACCGCCCGUCACACCACGAGAGUUUGCAACACCCGAAGUCGGUGAGGUAACCUUUAUGGAGCCAGCCGCCGAAGGUGGGGCAGAUGAUUGGGGUGAAUC
rnacentral:rRNA from 1 species